UUGUAUUCUUUAUAGGCUUUUGCUCAUGCACCAUGGUUGUCUGAGCACGCAGCAUGCUUGUCUGCUCAUACCCCAUGGUUCCUGAGCAGGAACCUUCACUGCCUACUAGU
rnacentral:pre_miRNA from 1 species